ACUGGGAUUGGUCAUUGAGAAAAGGUAUUGUUAUGGAACUGCAUCGUCCUGGGACGGCCCCGGCUAGCUCCGGAAUCCUCAGGGUGGAGUACCCCCAAUGUCCCUACAGCUUCCACAACACUAAACAUCGAUUACUAUCGACGUCUCACUCUACAAAUACUAACAUCUCUAACAACGAAAAAGUAAUCAAAUACAAAUACGACGGAAAAGUGGCCUUCCUGUGGUGCCCCUAGUGUCGCGAGGGAGGCACCACCCAUGUUCUAAGGCCGGAGCCACUGCCAGGCCAGACAACGACCGGUUCAUCUCCCCGCUGGUAAUUGCCUUAGGUCCACAACAUCUUCAUCUCCAUUCUAAGUCAGGCAAAACCACUACCCGGCCUGGACUGCACCAGCUGCAAGGUUGGAAAUUUGGCCCCCCAGAAAAAUUUAAACCAAGCGGCUGUAAUUAAUUUAACACCUCUUGUCUCUCCUAAUCACCCUGCUGGAGCUCCAAGAGGACACAAAUAUGACCCUGAGUUUUGCGCAAGGCUGGACUCAAGCUGGCGGAAUCACGAAGACAUGCGGAAACGGACGAGGG